rnacentral:rRNA from 1 species
CCUCCGGGUGGCAGCAGUAGGGAAUUUUGCGCAAUGGGGGAAACCCUGACGCAACAACGCCGCGUGAUCGAUGAAGCCCUUCGGGGUGUAAAGAUCUGUCAGUGGGGACGAACCCUGACGGUACCGACAGCGGAAGACACGGCUAAAUCCGUGCCAGCAGACGCGGUAAUACGGGGGGUGCCAGCGUUGUCCGGUAGCAUUGGGCGUAAAGGGUUCGUAGGUGGCACGUUAAGUAUGGUGUUAAAGGGGGGAGCCCAACUUCCGUAGGGAUCUGGAUACUGGCGAGCUUGAAUGCAGUAGAGGAGAAUGGAAGUCCUGGUGUAGCGGUGAAAUGCGUAGAUAUCAGGAGGAACAGCGGUGGCGUAAGCGCUUCACUGGGCCGUAAUUGACACUGAGGAACGAAAGCCGGGGGAGCAAAUGGGAUUAGAUACCCCAGUAGGC